rnacentral:lncRNA from 1 species
CAAAAUGUUAUAGAGACCCUUCCAAAAAAAUAGUAUCAAUUAAUACCAGGAGACAAAACCCUCUCCCUUCGUUACAUUGAAGACCAGCCAAAUGUUCCACAAUCUGAUUGCAAAGCAAAGAGCUAUAAAAACUUGCUCCUACAUUAAUAAGUCAGAUACUAAAAUUCAUACUACCUCCAGAUACCGGCCUACUUAUUCUUCACCGUUAUCCCAAGCUCCCCUGCAACAAUCACAGUAGUCGCCAUAUCCAGAAACAUCCCAUGCUCCACAACACCAGCAAGCUGCAAAAUCGCAUCGCUCGCCGCCUUCAAAUCCCCA